CACAAAAAUAACUUAUUAAAUGUCAGGGAAUGAGGUUUAAAUCCUCAACAGGCCUACCUACUGUAAAUUUGAUGAAACUAGAAUACCACAAGAAAAAUUCUUGGAAGGUCUAGGAGUAAAGUGAUAAUGAGUCAGGAUACCGGUUUAGUAAGUGAAUAUUUC
rnacentral:ncRNA from 2 species